GGCCAAUCAAACCGGGAGAUAGCUGGUUCUCCCCGAAAGCUAUUUAGGUAGCGCCUCGUGAAUUCAUCUCCGGGGGUAGAGCACUGUUUCGGCUAGGGGGCCAUCCCGGCUUACCAACCCGAUGCAAACUGCGAAUACCGGAGAAUGUUAUCACGGGAGACACACGGCGGGUGCUAACGUCCGUCGUGAAGAGGGAAACAACCCAGACCGCCAGCUAAGGUCCCAAAGUCAUGGUUAAGUGGGAAACGAUGUGGGAAGGCCCAGACAGCCAGGAUGUUGGCUUAGAAGCAGCCAUCAUUUAAAGAAAGCGUAAUAGCUCACUGGUCGAGUCGGCCUGCGCGGAAGAUGUAACGGGGCUAAACCAUGCACCGAAGCUGCGGCAGCGAACGUAUCACCCAAGACAACUUUACGGAGUUGACGAUUGACGGAGCGAAGCGACGUCAAAGCGUUCAUUAAAGUCGAGUUGGCUUAGGGAUACGUUCGUUGGGUAGGGGAGCGUUCUGUAAGCCUGUGAAGGUGUGUCGUGAGGCAUGCUGGAGGUAUCAGAAGUGCGAAUGCUGACAUAAGUAACGAUAAAGCGGGUGAAAAGCCCGCUCGCCGGAAGACCAAGGGUUCCUGUCCAACGUUAAUCGGGGCAGGGUGAGUCGACCCCUAAGGCGAGGCCGAAAGGCGUAGUCGAUGGGAAACGGGUUAAUAUUCCCGUACUUGGUGUUACUGCGAAGGGGGGACGGAGAAGGCUAUGUUGGCCGGGCGACGGUUGUCCCGGUUUAAGCGUGUAGGUGUGUGUUCCAGGUAAAUCCGGUUCACUUUAACACUGAGGCGUGACGACGAGGCACUACGGUGCUGAAGCAACAAAUGCCCUGCUUCCAGGAAAAGCCUCUAAGCAUCAGGUAACAUCAAAUCGUACCCCAAACCGACACAGGUGGUCAGGUAGAGAAUACCAAGGCGCUUGAGAGAACUCGGGUGAAGGAACUAGGCAAAAUGGUGCCGUAACUUCGGGAGAAGGCACGCUGACACGUAGGUGAAGUGAUUUACUCAUGGAGCUGAAGUCAGUCGAAGAUACCAGCUGGCUGCAACUGUUUAUUAAAAACACAGCACUGUGCAAACACGAAAGUGGACGUAUACGGUGUGACGCCUGCCCGGUGCCGGAAGGUUAAUUGAUGGGGUCAGCGCAAGCGAAGCUCCUGAUCGAAGCCCCGGUAAACGGCGGCCGUAACUAUAACGGUCCUAAGGUAGCGAAAUUCCUUGUCGGGUAAGUUCCGACCUGCACGAAUGGCGUAAUGAUGGCCAGGCUGUCUCCACCCGAGACUCAGUGAAAUUGAACUCGCUGUGAAGAUGCAGUGUACCCGCGGCAAGACGGAAAGACCCCGUGAACCUUUACUAUAGCUUGACACUGAACAUUGAGCCUUGAUGUGUAGGAUAGGUGGGAGGCUUUGAAGUGUGGACGCCAGUCUGCAUGGAGCCGACCUUGAAAUACCACCCUUUAAUGUUUGAUGUUCUAACGUGGACCCGUAAUCCGGGUUGCGGACAGUGUCUGGUGGGUAGUUUGACUGGGGCGGUCUCCUCCUAAAGAGUAACGGAGGAGCACGAAGGUUGGCUAAUCCUGGUCGGACAUCAGGAGGUUAGUGCAAUGGCAUAAGCCAGCUUGACUGCGAGCGUGACGGCGCGAGCAGGUGCGAAAGCAGGUCAUAGUGAUCCGGUGGUUCUGAAUGGAAGGGCCAUCGCUCAACGGAUAAAAGGUACUCCGGGGAUAACAGGCUGAUACCGCCCAAGAGUUCAUAUCGACGGCGGUGUUUGGCACCUCGAUGUCGGCUCAUCACAUCCUGGGGCUGAAGUAGGUCCCAAGGGUAUGGCUGUUCGCCAUUUAAAGUGGUACGCGAGCUGGGUUUAGAACGUCGUGAGACAGUUCGGUCCCUAUCUGCCGUGGGCGCUGGAGAACUGAGGGGGGCUGCUCCUAGUACGAGAGGACCGGAGUGGACGCAUCACUGGUGUUCGGGUUGUCAUGCCAAUGGCACUGCCCGGUAGCUAAAUGCGGAAGAGAUAAGUGCUGAAAGCAUCUAAGCACGAAACUUGCCCCGAGAUGAGUUCUCCCUGAGACUUAGAGUCUCCUGAAGGAACGUUGAAGACGACGACGUUGAUAGGCCGGGUGUGUAAGCGCAGCGAUGCGUUGAGCUAACCGGUACUAAUGAACCGUGAGGCUUAACCUUACA
rnacentral:rRNA from 1 species